UACGGAGGGUGCAAGCGUUAUCCGGGAUUCACUGGGUUUAAAGGGUGCGUAGGUGGGUUGGUAAGUCAGUGGUGAAAUCUCCUGCUUAACAUGGAAACUGCCAUUGAUACUACUGAUCUUGAAUUUUCAGGAGGUAAGCGGAAUAUGUCAUAGCGGUGAAAUGCUUAGAUAUGACAUAGAACACCAAAUUGCGAAGGCAGCUUACUACAGGAAUAUUUGACACUGAUGCACAAAAGCUGGGGGAUCAAAACAGGAUUAGAAA
rnacentral:rRNA from 1 species